GAUGAACGCUGGCGACGUGCUUAACACAUGCAAGUCGAACGGAAAGGCCCAAGCUUGCUUGGGUACUCGAGUGGCGAACGGGUGAGUAACACGUGGGUGAUCUGCCCUGCACUUCGGGAUAAGCCUGGGAAACUGGGUCUAAUACCGGAUAGGACCACGUCUUGGAUGUUGUGGUGGAAAGUUUUUUCGGUGUGGGAUGAGCUCGCGGCCUAUCAGCUUGUUGGUGGGGUAAUGGCCUACCAAGGCGUCGACGGGUAGCCGGCCUGAGAGGGUGUACGGCCACAUUGGGACUGAGAUACGGCCCAGACUCCGACGGGAGGCAGCAGUGGGGAAUAUUGCACAAUGGGCGCAAGCCUGAUGCAGCGACGCCGCGUGGGGGAUGACGGCCUUCGGGUUGUAAACUCCUUUCGCUAGGGACGAAGCGUUUUUGUGACGGUACCUGGAGAAGAAGCACCGGCUAACUACGUG
rnacentral:rRNA from 1 species